rnacentral:rRNA from 1 species
UACGGAGGGGGCUAGCGUUGUUCGGAAUUACUGGGCGUAAAGCGCACGUAGGCGGAUCAGUCAGUUAGAGGUGAAAGCCCAGGGCUCAACCCUGGAACUGCCUUUAAUACUGCUGGUCUGGAGUCCGAGAGAGGUGAGUGGAAUUCCGAGUGUAGAGGUGAAAUUCGUAGAUAUUCGGAGGAACACCAGUGGCGAAGGCGGCUCACUGGCUCGGUACUGACGCUGGAGGUGCGAAAGCGUGGGGAGCAAACAGG